rnacentral:rRNA from 1 species
UACGUAGGGUGCAAGCGUUGUCCGGAUUUAUUGGGCGUACAGAGCUUGUAGGCGGCCUUGUAGGUCCGUUGUGAAAACUCGAGGCUCAACCUCGAGACGCCGAUGGAAACCAUGUGGCUAGAGUCCGGAAGAGGAGAGUGGAAUUCCUGGUGUAGCGGUGAAAUGCGCAGAUAUCAGGAAGAACACCCGUGGCGAAGGCGGCUCUCUAGGACGGUACUGACGCUGAGACGCGAAAGCGUGGGGAGCGAACAGG